AUGCAUGGGCACAGCUCCUUGAGAAAUACAAUUUGCAAAAAAAACACUUACAUUUCACACAUCUAUGAAGUUCGCACGAAGUGGGCAAAACCAUAUUUCAGGGGCAUAUUUUGUGCAAAAAUGACAAGCACACAGCGAAGUGAGAGCGCAAAUCAUAUGCUGAAGGGAUAUGUGCCAGCAAGCUGCCCCAUGCACUUAUUUGUAAGGCAAUACAUGAGGCUGCUUUUCGGUCGAGAAGCAAACAAGAACUAUGAGGAGAGGCGAACAAAGAUUACAUUGCCAUCUAUGAAGGUAAACACGCCGCUGGAAUUUCACGCUAGCAAUAUCUACACACGAGCAAUGUUUGAGAAAUUUGGUGAGAUCCUGUAUGAAGCAGGGCAGUACAGAGUAGAAGAGGUCGAGAAAGGUUCAAAAUAUAAUGUACAUCGAUAUCACCCGGAUAAACAUGAAAAGUGGUGCAGAGUAUUGUACGUCGUGCAUGUCCACGGUCAGGGUGAAGAAUUGACAUGUGAAUGUGGCAACUUCGAGCACACAGGAUUACUAUGCUCAGUGGCGGAGUUCUACUGUUGGCCCACCCUUACUCAUUGGGCUAGAUCCGCUACUGACUAUGCUGCCAUUAUUAAGGUUCCUGAUUUCCUUGGUAUAGACAGAAUUCCAUCAAAGCAUAUCCUCAAAAGAUGGACAAAAGAAGCAAGAGACAUACUUCCAGAUCACUUGGCACACCUACAGAAAGGCAAUAUUUCAGUAAACUCAAUAACAUUCAGACAUUCAAAUAUGUAUACACAUGCUUUAGAGGUGGUGAAACUUGGUGAUGCAAAUCCAGUUGCCUACGAUUGCGCGAUGGAACUUCUUAGAGCAGCAAUGGAUAAACUGACCCCUUUAGCUGCUGAGCAUGAUGGUCUGGGUUUAGUGCACAGAAUAGAAUUGAAAAAGACAAAGGUUAAGGAAUUGAGUCUGCUAGAAGGGCCACAUAAUGGGUGCAUGAGCGACGAUGAGGGCAGUGCCAUUGGAAAUUUCAUUGGAUUGUCUGCUCCAGAACGUAAACGGAAAGCCGGACGACCAACUAAUAGCAGAGACAAGCCUCCGUACGACGACCGAUCUGGGAAGAGAAAAAAGUUGAAGGUUACAUCAGAAGUGAAUGGUGCUCUCGGAUGCGCCACAAGUAAACGAACACGGUUCUGCACUAUAUGUCGUGGCCCUGGUCACAAAAGCACAACUUGUCCACAAAGAGGAGACGCGCCUCAAAAGAAAGGAAAGAACCAAAAUGCUCGAUUUUCGGGGUGGGAGGUCAUCGGAAGAACACAUGCAACAAUCCUAAGAUCAUGGUACAUGUUGCAGAGCAAACAACUCCUGAUCCUGGUAGCAGCCAGUGAUUAUUCUAUGCAACUAAGAAAGCAUAUAUAUCAAGUAGAACCCAGAUUGUUGGUGUUUGCUUGUAGAUGA
rnacentral:rRNA from 1 species